UACGGAGGGUGCGAGCGUUGUCCGGAAUCAUUGGGCGUAAAGGGCGCGUAGGUGGCCCGGUCAGUUCGUGGUGAAAGCGCGGGGCUCAACCCUGCGUCGGCCAUGAAUACUGCCGCGGCUGGAGCACUGUAGAGGCAGGCGGAAUUCCGGGUGUAGCGGUGGAAUGCGUAGAUAUGACAUAGAACACCGAUUGCGAAGGCAGCUUGCUAAACGAUUAUUGACGCUGAGGCACGAAAGCGUGGGGAUCAAACAGG
rnacentral:rRNA from 1 species